GAUGUACUUCCUCCGUUCGGAAUUACUUGUCUCGGAAAUGGAUGUAUCUAGAACUAAAAUACGUCUAGGUGCAUCCAUUUCUACGACAAGUAAUUCCGAACGGAGGGAGUAGUUG
rnacentral:pre_miRNA from 1 species